AUGAUAUAGUAUAUCAUAACUUUGAGAACAGGGCCGCCAUUGAUCAAGAUUCGAGUAAACACUGACUUUUAUCUUUCACGUUUGUGAUAUCUGAAGACUUAAUGAACAUCAUGAAAUACACGCUUGUUGCAAUAUUCUUUCUGGUUGCGAUGGUAAUGAUGGUGGAUGAAGCUAGUGCGGGUGGUUGCCCCACGCCAACAGGGUUUGGCACCUGUGUAGAAGCAUGCGCUGUAGAUGCUGAGUGUGCCGUAGGUCAGAAAUGUUGUUUUAACGGCUGUGGACACGAGUGUAUGGUUACAAGUAAGAGACGUUAAAUGAAAUUUCAGUUUGACCGAGUUGCAGGACAGGACGAUAUGUUUUACGAAUAACCACUAAAAUGAGGAUCAAGAUUCAAAAUGUUAAAAAAAAUGUAGUUUGGGGUAAUAUUUGGAAUAAAUUGUUAAAUCACUUCUAGCUUCUGCAGUUGUUGUCACUAAUAAACAUAUAUGACUAUGCAUAA